CGGGAUCAGAAGACUUUGGACAUUCUUAAACUUCGCCCAUUGUACCAACCAGUCUUCCAAAGAGCGAACCCUGCAGGCUCUUAAUAAUAAUGGCUUUUGUAAUUUCAAGAGAUUUGGUUCUGAAAAAACGGCGUCAUUCCAACUGCCCCCUGGUGAGCUAUCAGGGAAAGAGAACACGUUUUCCGCGUUGCUAGGGUAUGAUUCUAAAGAAGAAACUGCCACCACCAAGUGAAAACAUAAUUUUUCUCUAAGUCUCAAAUUCUGAUUUGGGUGGCCUGGGUUAACUCUCCCACCUGAUUUAUUAUUGCAAGUAAGCCCUAGAAUUUUUUUUCUUUUUUUUAAGUAUGCACACGUACAGUGAAGACAUUUCUACAGGGUAUGCCCUAUUUGAAGUCUUGCCCAGGCUCCAGACGUGCUUUUCCGGGGUAAAGUAAUUGACAUGCUUCCCGGGAGGGUGCGGACAGGCGGUACCUAUACCCAUGGUAAAGUCCCCAUCACUGUGCGUGGACUCCCAAGGCCACGCCACUUUCUCUGGAGAAACUAGCAAGGAAAAGGCAGCUGCUCUGAUGGCCAGAGGUCGAUCCAAGGCAGGGCUUUGUCCUCUGCCUGGCCUCCUGCCGCCCCCCGCCCUGCGCCCAGGCUCCGCACCCUCAACUGCCCGAACCCAGCAGCAGGCGAAGGCGCCCCGCCCCGCCCGGCGCCCGCCGCCGCCGUGGCUGCGGGUCUGAUUUGCGGCGGAACAGGUGAACUCUCCUUCCCGCAGCUGGAUGAAUAAUGAAUGGAGACGGGAGGGGAAGCCAAGAGCCCGCGGCGGUGGAUUAAGUCGUCUUCCUCCCAGUCCGCCGGCACCCUUCCCCCUCUCCAAGCACUAUCUAGACGACUUUCCCGUCUCCCCGGAGCAGGUCGGGGUUCUACACACAGGUUGGAGCCCCGGAAGAAAACCAGGAGUGAGGGCGAAGUAAGAGAAUGAAGCUAAACUCUUAUUAAUCACUUUUUCCCCCCUAGGGAAGCAGGCAGGCUCGUAGGCUCGUGCCUCUCUGUACUAGGGAGAUUUCUCUUAGUGCGUUUGAAUUGUCUACGUACAGAACGCGCUCUAUCUAGUUAUAAAAUCUUUACUGGACUUUACAGGGACACUUCCUGGGGCGAGGGGGCAGGGAGAGUGGCGAGGGCUUUAAGGUGCCGGAUUUUUGUUUCGUGGGAGCGGAGGUAUUUUUACCCAGGUAAGAGCAAUUGUUCGCUCCUCGCCUACGUUCAUGCAGUCGCUUUCCGUUGGGGGCAGCGGGGAAGUGGCAAAAAAGAGAAUCCAGUCUCGGAGAUGCCACCUCAAUUGGCCACCCACCCAACCAAAUGCACUAAGGGCAGAGAGGGAGGCGGGAGACGGGCUUGUGAUCUGAAUGCAAAACAAUCAAGGAGUAGGAAUCUUCUCAGAAAAAGCCCACUCCAGUUUCACUCCCACCCACCCAUCACCCCCAAAGAAACUUCCACCCGACCCCCAAUACCAUAAACACGCUUGACUUUUUAAACGGCACGACCUCUCCCCCCCCCGCCCCCCCCCACACACACAAGGGGGGAAGGGGGGAAAGACACCGCUCUCUCACCUUCGGAAUGAUGAGGCAAUGCCGCAAAUUCCGCCAAUGCUAGGGCCACCCCGAGCCACACUUUGAAGGCACCCAUUGCCGCUUCGACACCCACACUGGAAGAGCCCAGCCUUCAGCAUCCAAGAACCAGCUCUCGCCCCAAACACCGGCUCUGGCGCCCGGGCUGGCGCGCACCGAGAGCGGGGGUUGGCGGGCGGCUACCUCCGGGGAAAUGCGGCGCUGCCCUGGCCCCGAGUGACACUCUUCAGCAGCCCGGAGGCGCCGGGCCGCGCGGGGGAUUCAAUUCACCCACUGCCCGGACGGAGAGCGCGCUCAGGUCUCCCGCGGAGCAGCACGCCAACGUGGGCUGAGCUUGGAGAAUAAAAGAGGAGGCAGAGCGCAGUUCUCCGCUGUAGACUCGCCGGAAAGUUCCCGUCACAGGCUCAUCGGACCUCCCAGCAUUUCUCUCAGACCCGAUGCGUCCGCUCCAGGGUCCCCGGCCGUGGAGAUCCCGGCGCAGGUUGGUCCGGAGCAGCUUUUUAAAGUUCGCUUGACACUCUACGUCGGCGCUGCGUAGGCAGAGAGGGUCGCCGGGAGCCCAGAAAGACCCACCCACCCCUAGGCCGGGCCACCCGGCUCCGCGGACCUCAGCCCCCGGUGGCCGCUCUCUGGAAACUUUGUGCCGCGCUGCGGGCAGCUCCCGGACUCGGCGGCGCUGCAGCCGCACGGCGCCGCCUCUGGCCGCGCUCCCUGCAGCAGCCGGUUCGAAAGCUUCCUAGAAAAGAACGGGGGCGGCGCCUCGGGGGGCGCUGCUGCUACUUUCUCGCCUCCGCCCCUCUCCAGGGUGAGGAGGGCUGUGGGGGCGCGGCUUGCUCCACGGGGACUGCCACCUCGGCGCUGUACACCCGGAGCUAGUCUGCAGGGUUGAGGUGUGAUUACGGGAGUGCAGGAGGCGCCAUAAUUUUAAAUGCACGGAGGUAAGAGCUAGGGAGGCUGGAAGGGAUCCCGAAGUCAAUGCUGCCACUCGGACUAGAGAGCCCGCAUACGCACAAAAUAAGGCCCCCUCUGGAUCCCAGCGUUUAGAGGACACACGCUCCGCCUCCCUCCCCUCCUUCCUCUCUCCUUUGCUCGGUGUGAAAAUGGACCCAGGGACUCGGAGCUUUGGCAGAGAUUCCAGAGAGUCACGUGGGGAAGGGGAGAAUCUAGGAGGGGGGCAGUGAGGGGAGGCCGAGAGAGCAACCUGAUCCCCUUAUUCGUUCUGCUGGAGUACAUAUUGCCUUUGUCUGGGGCGAGAUCAAAAGUGGUCACACCAGGGUGGGCAGGGGGAGGGGGAGGCGGUGAUGGGUGGUCCUUGCUCACUGAGAACCUGCCAACCGGGUCCUCACCUCUCGAUUCAGGAGGGACCCAUCCGGGAGGGGGUUUUACCAGCAUUCAAAGGCCCUGUCGCUAUCCUCCACCCCCACACCCCGCCACUCCUGCUGGACUAAGUGCGUGAGGCGGACCUGAUCCACCUUGGUGGUUCUGAGACCCUCCUGUUGUCCCACCAUGGGUUUUACCAGCAACCUGCGAGGGUCUUGGCUUGUGUGUCCUAGGCAGGGCCUCCCACCGGGCCGGGAAUGCACCUUUACCUCUGGCAGAGAGACUGUCAGUGGAACACUGGGCGGUCUAGGCGAGGUGGCUCCAGCUGCGCCCCCAAAUGCCAGUGAGUGGGAAGUAAACCUCUGGGCUACGCAGACUGGGGCGCACACUUGAAGAGUGGAGUCAGGACUGAGUGACGACAGCAAUUUUUAUAUGACCAAAUAAAAAGAGCUGGUCUUGGGUUAAUCGCUUUACGAUGAGAAUGGUUGCCUCAAGAGAGAUGCUGGCUGGGAUCUGACUGACCCGGAGGAAACACGUCCUGGUUCCUUUAGUUGACCUGACUUGGGUGAACGUGUGGAAGGGGAGUUUGCCCAAGCUGCACACGCUAGGCUGUGAAACAGUGGGGGGGGGGGGGGGGGGGGCACUUGUUUUCAGUCUUUACAACCAUCCUAAAGGUGGGCCAACGUGCUAAUGCUCUCAGCCGCAACUUGGAGCAAGUGUAACUUAGUUAUGUUAUAAGUUGUAACUGACGGAUAUCUGCCAUCCCUGUAUGUAUUCCUAUUUAGCUAGAGCAAAAUGGGAACCUCUAAAAACCGGGCACUGACUUUUGAGUUUUUAGAGGAGCCAGGGGGUUUGCAUCUCACCCUCAGUCUCUCCUGGGUUGCGGGGGUCUCAGGAACAGAGUAUGUUUAUCACCUUUGUACCUGAAACACAGAGUAGUAGAUGCUCAUUAAACGUUUGUUGAAAGAACGGACUGAGUAAAAUAGUCCCUAAAAGCAGUGGCCACAUCAAGUGCAGUGGGGCCCCAAAAAAGACCCCUCCUCUUCUUUCAUUUAGAAAAACCUGCCCUCCCCC